AACGAACGCUGGCGGCAUGCCUAACACAUGCAAGUCGAACGAAGGCUUCGGCCUUAGUGGCGCACGGGUGCGUAACGCGUGGGAAUCUGCCCUUGGGUUCGGAAUAACUCAGAGAAAUUUGAGCUAAUACCGGAUGAUGACGUAAGUCCAAAGAUUUAUCGCCCAAGGAUGAGCCCGCGUAAGAUUAGCUAGUUGGUGGGGUAAAGCCUACAAGGCGACGAUCUUAGCUGGUCUGAGAGGAUGAUCAGCCACACUGGGACUGAGACACGGCCCAGACUCCUACGGGAGGCAGCAGUGGGGAAUAUUGGACAAUGGGCGAAAGCCUGAUCCAGCAAUGCCGCGUGAGUGAUGAAGGCCUUAGGGUUGUAAAGCUCUUUUACCAGGAUGAUAAUGACAGUACCUGGAGAAUAAGCUCCGGCUAACUCCGUG
rnacentral:rRNA from 1 species